rnacentral:rRNA from 1 species
CGAACGGGUGAGUACAACAUCGGAACGUAUCCUUUAGUGGGGGAUAGCCCGGCGAAAGCCGGAUUAAUACCGCAUGAUCUCUGAGGAGCAAAGCGGGGGAACCGUAAGGUCCUCGCGCUGUUGGAGCGGCCGAUGCCGGAUUAGCUUGUUGGUGGGGUAAGAGCCCACCAAGGCGACGAUCCGUAGCUGGACUGAGAGGAUGAUCAGCCACACUGGAACUGAGACACGGUUCAG